CGGCCAGUCCAGACUCCUACGGGAGGCAGCAGUGGGGAAUUUUCCGCAAUGGGCGAAAGCCUGACGGAGCAAUACCGCGUGGGGGAGGAAGGUCUUUGGAUUGUAAACCUCUUUUCUGAAGGAAGAAGCUCUGACGGUACUUCAGGAAUAAGCAUCGGCUAACUCCGUGCCAGCAGCCGCGGUAAUACGGAGGAUGCAAGCGUUAUCCGGAAUUAUUGGGCGUAAAGCGUCCGUAGGUGGUGAUACAAGUCUGUCGUCAAAGCAGGUUGCUUAACGACCUAAAGGCGGUGGAAA
rnacentral:rRNA from 1 species